rnacentral:rRNA from 1 species
CGGACGGGUGAGUAACGCGUGAGCAACCUGCCUUUCAGAGGGGGAUAACGUUUGGAAACGAACGCUAAUACCGCAUGACAUUAUCUUAUCGCAUGGUAGGAUAAUCAAAGGAGCAAUCCGCUGAAAGAUGGGCUCGCGUCCGAUUAGGUAGUUGGUGGGGUAACGGCCCACCAAGCCGACGAUCGGUAGCCGGACUGAGAGGUUGGACGGCCACAUUGGGACUGAGACACGGCCCAGACUCCUACGGGAGGCAGCAG